rnacentral:rRNA from 1 species
AGAGUUUGAUCAUGGCUCAGGAUGAACGCUAGCGGCAGGCCUAACACAUGCAAGUCGAGGGAGAAGCCCUUUCGGGGGCAGAAACCGGCGCACGGGUGCGUAACGCGUAUGCAACCUACCUUUCACAGGGGGAUAGCCCGAAGAAAUUUGGAUUAAUACCCCAUAAUAUUGUUGGAUGGCAUCAUCUGGCAAUUAAAGCUACGACGGUGGAAGAUGGGCAUGCGUCCUAUUAGCUAGUUGGAGUGGUAACGGCACCCCAAGGCUACGAUAGGUAGGGGUCCUGAGAGGGAGAUCCCCCACACUGGUACUGAGACAGGGACCAGACUCCUACGGGAGGCAGCAGUGAGGAAUAUUGGUCAAUGGUCGGAAGACUGAACCAGCCAUGCCGCGUGCAGGAAGAAUGCCUUAUGGGUUGUAAACUGCUUUUAUAUGGGAAGAAUAAGGAGUACGAGUACUUUGAUGACGGUACCAUAUGAAUAAGCAUCGGCUAACUCCGUGCCAGCAGCCGCGGU